rnacentral:piRNA from 1 species
UGCUCAGUGCUCCCCUACUAAGCAGGAGA